GGUACUGUGCUUGCACAAUUCUUAAUAAAGUAAUAAAGAUGUAUGAACAGUCAAAAUACUGACUUGGUUUAUCUUUCUGUCUUUUAUCCGUUGGUACGCAAGAGCGUUUCGUUUGUCGAUGGGUGGAUGCAUUAUCUGACCCAAGAGUCACACAUGCGAUCUGCAGCAUCUGGAUCUCUUACUGGCAUCAGGCUGACAAGUCUCUAGGUCAGAAGCUUGCAUUUCGCCUCAACAUGAAGCCAAGCAUGUGAAGCAUUGUGGUGCAGAGAUGGGAGGUUUUAAGAGGUGCAUCAUGUAAGCUUUCAGUGUUGUAUUGAAUAGAGACAUCAUGUAAGGGUUUCAAGGGUAUGCUGAAAACAUAUGUAGAGUUGCAGACGAUGGAUUAUGUAAUAAGGUUGCUGUUCAGUA